CAGAGGGGGCAAGCGUUGUCGGAAUUACUGGGCGUAAAGGGCGCGUAGGCGGCCUUCUAAGUCGAACGUGAAAUCCCCGGGCUCAACCCGGGAACUGCGUCCGAUACUGGAAGGCUUGAAUCCGGGAGAGGGAUGCGGAAUUCCAGGUGUAGCGGUGAAAUGCGUAGAUAUCUGGAGGAACACCGGUGGCGAAGGCGGCAUCCUGGACCGGCAUUGACGCUGAGGCGCGAAAGCUAGGGGAGCAAACGGGAUUAGAUACCCCGGUAGUCCUAGCCCUAAACGAUGAAUGCUUGGUGUGGCGGGUAUCGAUCCCUGCCGUGCCGAAGCUAACGCAUUAAGCAUUCCGCCUGGGGAGUACGGUCGCAAGGCUG
rnacentral:rRNA from 1 species